rnacentral:rRNA from 1 species
UACAGAGGGUGCGAGCGUUGUUCGGAAUUAUUGGGCGUAAAGCGCUUGUAGGCGGCACGUCAAGUCGCGUGUGAAAUCCCCAGGCUUAACCUGGGAAGUGCGCGCGAAACUGACGAGCUUGAGUGCCGGAGAGGGUCGCGGAAUUCCCGGUGUAGAGGUGAAAUUCGUAGAUAUUGGGAAGAACACCGGUGGCGAAGGCGGCUCACUGGCUCGUAUCUGACGCUCAGGCGCGAUAGCGUGGGGAUCAAACAGG